rnacentral:misc_RNA from 1 species
UUAUAUUGUGAAGAAAAUCUUGCGUUUGGAUAUUCCUGUUGAUAGUUAUCCAAAUUUCAAUUUUGUAGGCCGGCUUUUGGGACCUAGGGGCAAUUCGUUGAAGCGAGUGGAAGCUUCUACAGGGUGUCGGGUGUAUAUUAGAGGAAAAGGUUCAAUAAAAGACCCAGAGAAGGAAGAGUCAUUAAGGGGAAGACCAGGCUAUGAGCA